ACAAUGCGUAGGAGUGAAAGCUUCCUGGUGAAGUGUAUGUCUCUGGACUAUCAGCUGAUACUGAUAAGUAUCAUAAUCAGCUGUUACUUCAACAUGAAGUAUUUUACUUCUUCCAAUUAAUCAGGAGUCUCUUGGAAAGUGCCAUAGCAGGACAUUAAUUACGGGGAUGUUUAAUGAGUAGAAUAUCUGUUGCUCACACAUAGAGAGGCUUAAGCAACUGCUUCCCAGUGAUCUGUGAUAGCCAGACAGAUAUUCAAAGAACCUGAGGCUGGAGCCUACCUCUCUUGCUGACUGUGAAUGAAGACCACAGUAUACUCUGCUUCAAGUCCACCUGGUCUUGAACUUUAUAAAUGCCUUUAAAAGAUAUAUCUAACAGUGUUUUUCCUUUGAAUUUUCCAACACCCAUUUACGAAGGCUUGAAAAUUCACAUGUUUCAGAUGGAGAGCACUGAACUGUCAAGGUAACAACUGAUCAGAGAAUAGCCAGUUUUCUCCAAGAGAUGAGCACAUGGAGGGACCUGGGGGAAAAUCCAGUGUUUACCAGGGAUUUCGGUGAGCUCAACAAGCCCUGGAAUGUAGGAAGGAGAAGAAAUCUGCACAAAUGAAGAGGUGCCCAGCAGACCAUGCUAUCUCAUUGGAGAACCCAGUGGUAAAAAUUCUCCAUAAAAUGAUAGGUGUCUGCUUCCAUGGGAUUAUCUUUAUUAGUAAAAGAUUAGAUGCGGUAAGGCAAGUAAACAGAGAUUCCAUAAAUGACUGCAAGUGUUUCAGUUGCCUUUUUGGCAUCAUCUUAAUUGUUACAACAAACAGCACCAGAUUACAAGAAUGACCACCUUUCUACUCAGAAGGUAAACUGCCUUUAAAAAGAAAGGAAUGAAACCUGGCUUUAUGAUUUCUAGGAUCCCAAUUAAUUAAAAUGGACAUGACUAGAGAAGCAUAAACACCUGAGCAGCUUUCAAGACGUUUCUCCAGCAUGUUCUUACUGACUCCGAGCCCUUAUUUCCAACCACCGUGUCUGCUCAUCCUAUUGCAGCACUCUUCAAACCAGCCUCCCCCAAAGGAUCCAGCAGAUGCAGUCUGGGAGAAGAGCCGAGCAUAAGCUGUUACUACAUGUGCAGUUAUAUUUCUGUCUGAGGAAGCAAAACGCCUUCACAGAUGAAUACAAAAAGAUGCAUGUGUUUUCCCAAGGCUGAACUCCUGAGCUUAAUCUGCUCUACUCUGCCUGCAGCCGUGGUGUGGCAGGGCAUCGUAGGAAGAGGAAUGUCGGUUUCUGGGAGACAAGUACUGGUGCCGAGGGAGGGGGAAAACAGACUCCAUCAUCUUGGAAAGGGUGCGCAUUCCCGAGCAAAGCUCUGAGAAGACAAG